rnacentral:rRNA from 1 species
UACGUAGGGUGCGAGCGUUAAUCGGAAUUAUUGGGCGUAAAGAGCUCGUAGGCGGCUUGUCACGUCGGGUGUGAAAGCCCGGGGCUUAACCCCGGGUCUGCAUUCGAUACGGGCUAGCUAGAGUGUGGUAGGGGAGAUCGGAAUUCCUGGUGUAGCGGUGAAAUGCGCAGAUAUCAGGAGGAACACCGGUGGCGAAGGCGGAUCUCUGGGCCAUUACUGACGCUGAGGAGCGAAAGCGUGGGGAGCGAACAGG